rnacentral:sRNA from 1 species
AAGGCGGAAACAUAUUUACGUGUCGUGA